rnacentral:rRNA from 1 species
UGGGGAAUCUUGGACAAUGGGCGCAAGCCUGAUCCAGCGACGCCGCGUGGGUGACGAAGGCCUUCGGGUUGUAAAGCCCUUUCACCGGGGACGAUGAUGACGGUACCCGGCGAAGAAGCACCGGCUAACUCCGUGCCAGCAGCCGCGGUAAGACGGAGGGUGCUAGCGUUGUUCGGAAUCACUGGGCGUAAAGGGCGCGUAGGCGGCUGUGGCAGUCGGGUGUGAAAGCCCGGAGCUCAACUCCGGAACGGCACUCGAGACGCCACGGCUGGAGGCCGGAAGAGGAGGGUGGAAUACCCAGUGUAGAGGUGAAAUUCGUAGAUAUUGGGUGGAACACCGGUGGCGAAAGCGGCUCUCUGGUCCGGACCUGACGCUGAGGCGCGAAAGCGUGGGGAGCAAACAGGAUUAGAUACCCCCGUAGUCC